UUAUACGACCGUACCGCAAACCGACACUGGUGCGCGAGAUGAGUAUUCUAAGGCGCUUGAGAGAACUCAGGAGAAGGAACUCGGCAAAUUGACACCGUAACUUCGGAAGAAGGUGUGCCCUAUUAGUGUGUAGUGAACAACGAAGCAUGAAUGGGUUGCAAAAAAUCGGUGGCUGCGACUGUUUAUUAAAAACACAGCACUCUGCAAACACGAAAGUGGACGUAUAGGGUGUGACGCCUGCCCGGUGCUGGAAGAUUAAAUGAUGGGGUGCAAGCUCUUGAUUGAAGUCCCAGUAAACGGCGGCCGUAACAAUAACGGUCCUAAGGUAGCGAAAUUCCUUGUCGGGUAAGUUCCGACCUGCACGAAUGGCGUAACGAUGGCCACACUGUCUCCUCCUGAGACUCAGCGAAGUUGAAAUGUUUGUGAUGAUGCAAUCUCCCCGCGGAAAGACGGAAAGACCCCAUGAACCUUUACUGUAGCUUUGUAUUGGACUUUGAACAGAUCUGUGUAGGAUAGGUGGGAGGCUUUGAAGCAGGGUCGCUAGAUCUUGUGGAGCCAACGUUGAAAUACCACCCUGGUGUGUUUGAGGUUCUAACCUAGGUCCAUUAUCUGGAUCGGGGACAGUGCAUGGUAGGCAGUUUGACUGGGGCGGUCUCCUCCCAAAGCGUAACGGAGGAGUUCGAAGGUACGCUAGUUACGGUCGGACAUCGUGACGAUAGUGCAAUGGCAUAAGCGUGCUUAACUGCGAGACUGACAAGCCGAGCAGAUGCGAAAGCAGGACAUAGUGAUCCGGUGGUUCUGUAUGGAAGGGCCAUCGCUCAACGGAUAAAAGGUACUCUGGGGAUAACAGGCUGAUACCGCCCAAGAGUUCAUAUCGACGGCGGUGUUUGGCACCUCGAUGUCGGCUCAUCUCAUCCUGGGGCUGUAGCCGGUCCCAAGGGUAUGGCUGUUCGCCAUUUAAAGAGGUACGUGAGCUGGGUUUAAAACGUCGUGAGACAGUUUGGUCCCUAUCUUCCGUGGGCGCUGCAGAUUUGAGGAACCCUGCUCCUAGUACGAGAGGACCGGAGUGGACACACCUCUGGUGUAUCGGUUGUCACGCCAGUGGCAUUGCCGAGUAGCUAAGUGUGGAAGAGAUAACCGCUGAAAGCAUCUAAGCGGGAAACUCGUUUCAAGAUGAGAUCUGCCGGGGCCUUGAGCCCCCUAAAGAGUCGUUCAAGACCAGGACGUUGAUAGGUCAGGUGUGGAAGCCA
rnacentral:rRNA from 1 species